AUACUUACCUGUAUAGGAGACACCAUGAUUCUGUAGGUGGUUUUCCCAAGGUGAGGCUUGUCCAUUGCAUUCUGGAUGUGCAGACCCCUGCGAUUUCCCCAUAUGUGGGAAACUUGACUGUAUAAUUGUAGUAGUGGGGGCUGCGUUAGUGCUCUCCCCUG
rnacentral:snRNA from 1 species